CCCGCACGGCGCGCCAGCUCGCGCCGCUCUUCCCCGACAACGCGUUCUUGGCGCUCGCGACCGCGGACGACCCGCUGCACGCGGGCGGCGCGCCGCGCUCCGACGUGGCGGCGCUGGCGCGAGCCCUGCCGGCGCUGCUCUGUGCGCCGCCCGCGCUCUACACGCCGCAAGACGCGGAGCGCGUGUACCGCAGCGUGCGACGCUGCU
rnacentral:lncRNA from 1 species